AUUGUUACAAAUUUAAUAAUGCACGUGAAAAUCCACAAAAAAUAUUUUCUUCUUAAUUGGAAACAAAUUUAAUUUCUCCGAAGUUCUUCCAGGAUUAACGUUAAUUACUAUCCUUCAAGAUCCCAAAAACCCAAAGGAUGAUAUUGUUAAUUAAGUAGAAAUUUAAAAAAAAGUUGCAUAGAACAACCGAAAAAUAGCUCAGAAACGAGAUGAAAGACGGAAGAUGCAGGAUGUCGUUAUGUUUCCUCAUCCUUAUCAUCCAUCAGAUUUAAUUAUCCCGGCUUUCUACAUCGAAUCUUUACUAAAGCGUAACGUCGAACGAGCAUCACGUAGAGCGUGAAGGAUCACGUAGAGCAUCCAACAUCCAGAUCCGAAGAGAGGUAACUUUUCACCAAAUAAAUUUUAAUUUGGGUCAUUUAUCUGUGUAUUACUUAUCACCAGAACUUUAUGAAGUAAUAAUAACUUCACACAUUUUGUAUUGAAACAGUAUAAUUAGCGGUUUUAUCAGUAAUCACGAAGUAACCAUCAAUAAAAUUAGAGUAAAUCUAGCAUCUGGGGAGUUCCAUCCAUUAACGAAUUGUGUUAACCACAUUAAGAGAAAAUAAUUAAUUGUAAUAAUGGAAAACCCUAAAGAUAAUUGCUUUCAAAUCCUAUUUUAAUGCCACUUUAAAUCGAAUAUGGAUCGAUAUUUUGGUGAAGAAUCUCCAUUGUUUAACUAUAAACUAAUCCGUGGCACAGGUAGGAAUUUGUAACGAGUCGAUAAUUACUACUGGACUUUCUCUGGAUUUUCUAAAAGUCCAGCAUCUCCUCCUGCAACGAAAUUAAUCUAGAAUUAAAAUUUAACAACAAAUUUCUUAGAAUUAAGCUAAGAAAAUAAUUUAAGAACGUUGGGACAACAUAUAGGCCUACACCAACUUAAUCUUCAGCAGUGAUGGCAAUACAAGGAUAAGAGAAAUUUUAUUAAGAAAACAAAUGGAUUUCUGAAUUGUCCCUGACAUGUUACUGUAGACGAAUUAGUCCAACUUACAGAUUUCUUGCUACAAAUCAAUUGUUUGAUCGUGGAUGAGAAGUUUAUUGGUGUUGUAGCGAAUAAACUUGGAGGAUGCGAAAGAGAAGAGAUGGAUAAAGAAAUAUUUGGAUUAACUGUAACGAAAUGAGGAUGCGAGAAGGAAGUUUACUGGUUUAAGAUACUUCGAAAGAGGGUUAAAAAUGGGAGUGUACGUUUACUAUUUGUGUAACAUCACAGGUGUUACGUAGAAAGGAA